GCCAGACUCCUACGGGAGGCAGCAGUGAGGAAUAUUGGUCAAUGGGCUUACGCCUGAACCAGCCAAGUCGCGUGAGGGAAGACUGCCCUAUGGGUUGUAAACCUCUUUUGUCAGGGAGCAAUUGGCGCUACGUGUAGCGUUAUCGAGAGUACCUGAAGAAAAAGCAUCGGCUAACUCCGUGCCAGCAGCCGCGGUAAUACGGAGGAUGCGAGCGUUAUCCGGAUUUAUUGGGUUUAAAGGGGGCGCAGGCGGCGUGUCAAGUCAGCGGUAAAAUGUCGGGGCUCAACCCCGGCCGGCCGGUGAAACUGGGGGCCUUGAGUGGGCGAGAAGAAGGCGGAAUGCGUGGUGUAGCGGUGAAAUGCAUAGAUAUCACGCAGAACUCCGAUUGCGAAGGCAGCAUACCGGCGCCCAACUGACGCUGAAGCUCGAAGGCGCGGGUAUCGAACAGGAGUAGAGA
rnacentral:rRNA from 1 species